rnacentral:rRNA from 1 species
GGGUUGUGAGGUUAAGCGACUAAGCGUACACGGUGGAUGCCCUGGCAGUCAGAGGCGAUGAAGGACGUGCUAAUCUGCGAUAAGCGUCGGUAAGGUGAUAUGAACCGUUAUAACCGGCGAUUUCCGAAUGGGGAAACCCAGUGUGUUUCGACACACUAUCAUUAACUGAAUCCAUAGGUUAAUGAGGCGAACCGGGGGAACUGAAACAUCUAAGUACCCCGAGGAAAAGAAAUCAACCGAGAUUCCCCCAGUAGCGGCGAGCGAACGGGGAGGAGCCCAGAGCCUGAAUCAGUGUGUGUGUUAGUGGAAGCGUCUGGAAAGGCGCGCGAUACAGGGUGACAGCCCCGUACACAAAAAUGCACAUGCUGUGAGCUCGAUGAGUAGGGCGGGACACGUGGUAUCCUGUCUGAAUAUGGGGGGACCAUCCUCCAAGGCUAAAUACUCCUGACUGACCGAUAGUGAACCAGUACCGUGAGGGAAAGGCGAAAAGAACCCCGGCGAGGGGAGUGAAAAAGAACCUGAAACCGUGUACGUACAAGCAGUGGGAGCACAGAGCAAUCUGUGUGACUGCGUACCUUUUGUAUAAUGGGUCAGCGACUUAUAUUCUGUAGCAAGGUUAACCGAAUAGGGGAGCCGAAGGGAAACCGAGUCUUAACUGGGCGUUAAGUUGCAGGGUAUAGACCCGAAACCCGGUGAUCUAGCCAUGGGCAGGUUGAAGGUUGGGUAACACUAACUGGAGGACCGAACCGACUAAUGUUGAAAAAUUAGCGGAUGACUUGUGGCUGGGGGUGAAAGGCCAAUCAAACCGGGAGAUAGCUGGUUCUCCCCGAAAGCUAUUUAGGUAGCGCCUCGUGAAUUCAUCUCCGGGGGUAGAGCACUGUUUCGGCAAGGGGGUCAUCCCGACUUACCAACCCGAUGCAAACUGCGAAUACCGGAGAAUGUUAUCACGGGAGACACACGGCGGGUGCUAACGUCCGUCGUGAAGAGGGAAACAACCCAGACCGCCAGCUAAGGUCCCAAAGUCAUGGUUAAGUGGGAAACGAUGUGGGAAGGCCCAGACAGCCAGGAUGUUGGCUUAGAAGCAGCCAUCAUUUAAAGAAAGCGUAAUAGCUCACUGGUCGAGUCGGCCUGCGCGGAAGAUGUAACGGGGCUAAACCAUGCACCGAAGCUGCGGCAGCGACACUGUGUGUUGUUGGGUAGGGGAGCGUUCUGUAAGCCUGUGAAGGUGUGCUGUGAGGCAUGCUGGAGGUAUCAGAAGUGCGAAUGCUGACAUAAGUAACGAUAAAGCGGGUGAAAAGCCCGCUCGCCGGAAGACCAAGGGUUCCUGUCCAACGUUAAUCGGGGCAGGGUGAGUCGACCCCUAAGGCGAGGCCGAAAGGCGUAGUCGAUGGGAAACAGGUUAAUAUUCCUGUACUUGGUGUUACUGCGAAGGGGGGACGGAGAAGGCUAUGUUGGCCGGGCGACGGUUGUCCCGGUUUAAGCGUGUAGGCUGGUUUUCCAGGCAAAUCCGGAAAAUCAAGGCUGAGGCGUGAUGACGAGGCACUACGGUGCUGAAGCAACAAAUGCCCUGCUUCCAGGAAAAGCCUCUAAGCAUCAGGUAACAUCAAAUCGUACCCCAAACCGACACAGGUGGUCAGGUAGAGAAUACCAAGGCGCUUGAGAGAACUCGGGUGAAGGAACUAGGCAAAAUGGUGCCGUAACUUCGGGAGAAGGCACGCUGAUAUGUAGGUGAAGUCCCUCGCGGAUGGAGCUGAAAUCAGUCGAAGAUAUCAGCUGGCUGCAACUGUUUAUUAAAAACACAGCACUGUGCAAACACGAAAGUGGACGUAUACGGUGUGACGCCUGCCCGGUGCCGGAAGGUUAAUUGAUGGGGUCAGCGCAAGCGAAGCUCUUGAUCGAAGCCCCGGUAAACGGCGGCCGUAACUAUAACGGUCCUAAGGUAGCGAAAUUCCUUGUCGGGUAAGUUCCGACCUGCACGAAUGGCGUAAUGAUGGCCAGGCUGUCUCCACCCGAGACUCAGUGAAAUUGAACUCGCUGUGAAGAUGCAGUGUACCCGCGGCAAGACGGAAAGACCCCGUGAACCUUUACUAUAGCUUGACACUGAACAUUGAGCCUUGAUGUGUAGGAUAGGUGGGAGGCUUUGAAGUGUGGACGCCAGUCUGCAUGGAGCCGACCUUGAAAUACCACCCUUUAAUGUUUGAUGUUCUAACGUGGACCCGUGAUCCGGGUUGCGGACAGUGUCUGGUGGGUAGUUUGACUGGGGCGGUCUCCUCCUAAAGAGUAACGGAGGAGCACGAAGGUUGGCUAAUCCUGGUCGGACAUCAGGAGGUUAGUGCAAUGGCAUAAGCCAGCUUGACUGCGAGCGUGACGGCGCGAGCAGGUGCGAAAGCAGGUCAUAGUGAUCCGGUGGUUCUGAAUGGAAGGGCCAUCGCUCAACGGAUAAAAGGUACUCCGGGGAUAACAGGCUGAUACCGCCCAAGAGUUCAUAUCGACGGCGGUGUUUGGCACCUCGAUGUCGGCUCAUCACAUCCUGGGGCUGAAGUAGGUCCCAAGGGUAUGGCUGUUCGCCAUUUAAAGUGGUACGCGAGCUGGGUUUAGAACGUCGUGAGACAGUUCGGUCCCUAUCUGCCGUGGGCGCUGGAGAACUGAGGGGGGCUGCUCCUAGUACGAGAGGACCGGAGUGGACGCAUCACUGGUGUUCGGGUUGUCAUGCCAAUGGCACUGCCCGGUAGCUAAAUGCGGAAGAGAUAAGUGCUGAAAGCAUCUAAGCACGAAACUUGCCCCGAGAUGAGUUCUCCCUGACCCUUUAAGGGUCCUGAAGGAACGUUGAAGACGACGACGUUGAUAGGCCGGGUGUGUAAGCGCAGCGAUGCGUUGAGCUAACCGGUACUAAUGAACCGUGAGGCUUAACCUUACAACGCCGAAGGUGUUU